AUGAACGCUGGCGGCGUGCCUAAUACAUGCAAGUCGAGCGAACAGAUGAGGAGCUUGCUCCUCUGACGUUAGCGGCGGACGGGUGAGUAACACGUGGAUAACCUACCUAUAAGACUGGGAUAACUUCGGGAAACCGGAGCUAAUACCGGAUAAUAUAUUGAACCGCAUGGUUCAAUAGUGAAAGACGGUUUUGCUGUCACUUAUAGAUGGAUCCGCGCCGCAUUAGCUAGUUGGUAAGGUAACGGCUUACCAAGGCAACGAUGCGUAGCCGACCUGAGAGGGUGAUCGGCCACACUGGAACUGAGACACGGUCCAGACUCCUGCGGGAGGCAGCAGUAGGGAAUCUUCCGCAAUGGGCGAAAGCCUGACGGAGCAACGCCGCGUGAGUGAUGAAGGUCUUCGGAUCGUAAAACUCUGUUAUUAGGGAAGAACAAAUGUGUAAGUAACUAUGCACGUCUUGACGGUACCUAAUCAGAAAGCCACGGCUAACUACGUG
rnacentral:rRNA from 1 species